CCCAAUCUCAGACUCACCCUGGGGAAGAAGGUCUGGAUGGAAGUUAAAGGGUCAUGUGUGCCUGCCUGCCCCCCUUCAGCUUUUCUUGGUCACAGGGCUAUUCUGUGUGUGGCUUCCCAGCAGCUACCAGCUGCCCCUGUGGCAGCUGGCUCACCUGCCCAGCUAUGAGAGUAUUCGAAAGAAGACCCAGCAGCAGCAGGUUCACCAGCUGAUUGCACGGCGCUUCGGGAUCUGGGCCUGCAGAGAGGCGAAUGUUCGGCAUUCCUAACCUUGGGCGCCUUGGACAACUGAGCUUUUGUUCAUAUUACUGAUACAUAAUGCCCAGUUAGAGCCCAGGAUGAGGAAGGGGUCACUGGUGGAGAGCCCCAGGCUUUGAGAGGAGGCCCCACUUCACCUCUUCGGGGGGAGGGAAGGAUGGGGUCUGCCCUGGGAUUCAGAACAGGCUCCUGCGGAAGGGAUUGUGUGCAGCCAACAGCUCCACGACUCAGCUUGUCUCCAGGAAGGAACAUCACUAGGGGAGAGGAGACACAGAAAGCUGAAGCCAAAAGAAAGGACAUGUGUACGGGCGGAUGGAGAGGCUGGUGUGUCAGGAAAUGGUUAAAGCCUUUACUCUCCUAUCCCUCAGCUGUCACCAAGCUAUGAGGAGGCGAGGCCCUCAGGUCACUGCCUGCACCACGACCGAACUGUGGCUCUGCUCAUCCACCCCAUGAAGCAACACUUGCUCUGCUCAGGGAAAUACCACUGUGUAGGAGGAACACCCUUUCCCAUCCUGCCCCUUUCUGCUUUUCCAGAGGACUGGCAAAGACGGUGCUGAGCCUACAGAGACAUCUCCAGCCAUCUCCCCCAGCUGGGCCUUGGCACGUGAGCCCCCACAAGAAGGAAGCCAAAGUGAACCUCAACAAACCCUGGGCCACCUCUGCCAAGGAUCUGCAGGAGGUGGAGAAUCUGGGGUCGUGUCCUGAGAAAAUAAGGCCGCUUCUCUGCUUUGAGGGUGCUCCGUGGUGCACACUACAGAACGUGGGUAAGGGCCAAAAAACCAGUAAGCAGCGCCAUCCAGGUUUAUCCCCACACAGCACAGACUCAUGACUCCAGCACACUUUAUUUCUGGCCCCAGGUCAGGUCUCCCAAGAGCCAGUCACUUCAGAGUCUUCUGCAAUCACCACCAAACAGACGUCCUCAGCAGACCUUGUCGUGCCAACCCUUGACUUUCGCUGCUGCCAUCCUCUCCUGUCACCUGGGCUCCAGUCUCUGUCCAGCGGCCUUGACCAGGAGUUCAAAGCAUAGCCACCAGUUUGAAGGUGCCCUCAGGCUUGGUAGGAACCACAUGGACAAAAGUCUUAUAGAGCACAGCACCCUUGGGCAGCCUGGUGACCAGGUCCACAGCCUCCGCGUUGCUGGGACUGGGCACAUAGAC